rnacentral:rRNA from 1 species
AGCGAACGUUUGCGGCGGGCUUAACACAUGCAAGUCGAACGAGAAUCCCUUCGGGGAGGAAAGUGGCGCACGGGUGCGUAACACGUGGAUAACCAACCCAUUGGUUUGGGACAACACCGGGAAACUGGUGCUAAUACCAGAUGUGUCGCAGCUGUCUUCAGGCGGUUGCGAGAAAGGCCCGCAAGGGUCGCCAACGGACGGGUCCGCGUCCCAUCAGCUAGUUGGUGAGGUAAUGGCUCACCAAGGCAAAGACGGGUAGCUGGUCUGAGAGGAUGAUCAGCCACACUGGAACUGAGACACGGUCCAGACUCCUACGGGAGGCAGCAGUGGGGAAUAUUGCGCAAUGGGCGAAAGCCUGACGCAGCCACGCCGCGUGAGCGAUGAAGGUUUUCGGAUCGUAAAACUCUGUUGUUAGGGAAGAACAAGUGCCGUUCGAAAGGGCGGCACCUUGACGGUACCUAACGAGAAAGCCACGGCUAACUACGUGCCAGCAGCCGCGGUAAAGUCGAUA